rnacentral:rRNA from 1 species
AAAGGUCUCUUAAUACUUAAACCUAUUAAAGAUACUCGAGUGGCGAACGGGUGAGUAACACGUGGGUAAUCUACCCUGCACUUCAGGGAUAAGCCUGGGAAACCGGGUCUAAUACCGGAUAGGACUUCAAGGCGCAUGUCUUGUGGUGGAAAGCUUUUGCGGUGCGGGAUGGGCCCGCGGCCUAUCAGCUUGUUGGUGGGGUGACGGCCUACCAAGGCGACGACGGGUAGCCGGCCUGAGAGGGUGUCCGGCCACACUGGGACUGAGAUACGGCCCAGACUCCUACGGGAGGCAGCAGUGGGGAAUAUUGCACAAUGGGCGCAAGCCUGAUGCAGCGACGCCGCGUGGGGGAUGACGGCUUUCGGGUUGUAAACCUCUUUCACCAUUGACGAAGAUCUGGGUUUUCUCGG